AGACAGACUAAUUAAUGUGAUGGAGGUCUGGUGUAUGUUAUGUCUGAUUUGCAACAGACUAAUGAAUGUGAUGGGGCUCUGGUGUAUGUUAUGUCUGUUCUGCCUCAUGAGGUGUCUCUCCCCUGGUGCCUGCUGUAUGGAGGCUAAGCCCAGCUGGGCCCAGUCCUGCUGCCUUGAUGAUAUCCAGGGCGGUUCUUCCUGCUAGACACCAGGUUCUUCCACUCCUUUUCUGUCACUAGAGUGGGGAUGUCUCUUGUCUGACUGCUAUCUACUGAUCUAAUAGGUGUGUAUUCAUAACACCCUGUGUGUGUGUGUGUGUUCACAUUCUUGUGUAUGCGUGUGCACGUUUGUGUUUGACACUUGAUGUACUUCAUGGUUACUCAUUGUUACGGUGUCGCAACCUGAGGCUUACAUAUCAGUCCAC
ensembl:lncRNA